AUUGAACGCUAGCGGGUUGCCUUACACAUGCAAGUCGAACGGCAGCACGGACUUCGGUCUGGUGGCGAGUGGCGAACGGGUGAGUAAUGUAUCGGAACGUGCCCAGUAGCGGGGGAUAACUACGCGAAAGCGUAGCUAAUACCGCAUACGCCCUACGGGGGAAAGCAGGGGAUCGCAAGACCUUGCACUAUUGGAGCGGCCGAUAUCGGAUUAGCUAGUUGGUGGGGUAACGGCUCACCAAGGCGACGAUCCGUAGCUGGUUUGAGAGGACGACCAGCCACACUGGGACUGAGACACGGCCCAGACUCCUACGGGAGGCAGCAGUGGGGAAUUUUGGACAAUGGGGGAAACCCUGAUCCAGCCAUCCCGCGUGUGCGAUGAAGGCCUUCGGGUUGUAAAGCACUUUUGGCAGGAAAGAAACGUCGCGGGUUAAUACCUCGCGAAACUGACGGUACCUGCAGAAUAAGCACCGGCUAACUACGUG
rnacentral:rRNA from 1 species